rnacentral:rRNA from 1 species
AGCGAACGCUGGCGGCAGGCCUAACACAUGCAAGUCGAACGAACCUUUCGGGGUUAGUGGCGGACGGGUGAGUAACACGUGGGAACGUGCCUUUAGGUUCGGAAUAACUCAGGGAAACUUGUGCUAAUACCGAAUGUGCCCUUCGGGGGAAAGAUUUAUCGCCUUUAUAGCGGCCCGCGUCUGAUUAGCUAGUUGGUUGAGGUAAUGGCUCACCAAGGCGACGAUCAGUAGCUGGUCUGAGAGGAUGAUCAGCCACAUUGGGACUGAGACACGGCCCAAACUCCUACGGGAGGCAGCAGUGGGGAAUCUUGCGCAAUGGGCGAAAGCCUGACGCAGCCAUGCCGCGUGAAUGAUGAAGGUCUUAGGAUUGUAAAAUUCUUUCACCGGGGACGAUAAUGACGGUACCCGGAGAAGAAGCCCCGGCUAACUUCGUG